AUCUGCUUUGGCCUGCAGUUCGACCUUGUUCAUAUAAGCGCCAUCCACAUCCUAAAGAAAAGAAAACCAAAGACUUGUGAUGAAACCACAAACCAAAAGGGGCUUCAGGACACCAGCAGGACCAUCUCUCUGCUUCCAGGAUAAACGAGUGAGAGGGUUUCGGUGGAAAUGAAGAACAAAGCCAGCAUGGGCAGCAGAGAUGGGACCACUCCAGCCCCAAAUCGUCAGUGGUGGGUCACAGGUGUAUUAUUUUGGGAGACUCAAGGGAUCAGACCGUCACCUCCGUUACACCGGAGCAGCUUCCCACGGGCACGUGAAUUCUGUGCUGACCCUGCACGUAGGAACUCUGACAUAACUAGAGGAGGCUCCACUUGGUCUCCAGCACUUUGUUCUGCUGCUCCAAAAAGCGCACCUGGGGAAGGAACACAAACCGGCGCGUGCUGAAGCCCAUGUGAACCAUGCACACAGAAAACCGAGCUGCCAGGAAAAGGAGGGAUCGCUUGACACAGAAAGAAAAGAAAAGAGAUCUAAAGGAUCGUGGGCUUGCAGAGAUGAGUUGCAUGGAAGCUGUCUUGCGGUAGGAUUUUCUGGGAUCUUACCAAAAAAAUUGUCUCCCUCCUUGUAGGGGAAACUGAG